AUGAACGCUGGCGGCGUGCCUAAUCCAUGCAAGUCGAGCGAACAGACGAGGAGCUUGCUCCUCUGACGUUAGCGGCGGACGGGUGAGUAACACGUGGAUAACCUACCUAUAAGACUGGGAUAACUUCGGGAAACCGGAGCUAAUACCGGAUAAUAUAUUGAACCGCAUGGUUCAAUAGUGAAAGACGGUUUUGCUGUCACUUAUAGAUGGAUCCGCGCCGCAUUAGCUAGUUGGUAAGGUAACGGCUUACCAAGGCAACGAUGCGUAGCCGACCUGAGAGGGUGAUCGGCCACACUGGAACUGAGACACGGUCCAGACUCCUACGGGAGGCAGCAGUAGGGAAUCUUCCGCAAUGGGCGAAAGCCUGACGGAGCAACGCCGCGUGAGUGAUGAAGGUCUUCGGAUCGUAAAGCUCUGUUAUUAGGGAAGAACAAAUGUGUAAGUAACUAUGCACGUCUUGACGGUACCUAAUCAGAAAGCCACGGCUAACUACGUG
rnacentral:rRNA from 1 species